AGAAGGAAAAGAAGCGGUGUAUCAACCUGAACGCGU
rnacentral:sRNA from 1 species